rnacentral:rRNA from 1 species
UACGUAGGGAACAAGCGUUGUCCGGAAUCAUUGGGCGUAAAGAGCGCGUAGGUGGCUUUAUAAGUCCGUUGUGAAAGUCAAAGGCUCAACCUUUGAAAGCCGAUGGAUACUGUGAAGCUAGAGUACGGAAGAGGCGAGUGGAAUUCCUGGUGUAGCGGUGGAAUGCGCAGAUAUCAGGAGGAACACCAAUAGCGAAGGCAGCUCGCUGGGACGGUACUGACGCUAAGGCGCGAAAGCGUGGGGAGCGAACAG